UUUCGCCUACGGGGGGCAGCAGUGGGGGAUAUUGCACAAUGGGGGAAACCCUGAUGCAGCGACGCCGCGUGAGCGAUGAAGUAUUUCGGUAUGUAAAGCUCUAUCAGCAGGGAAGAAAAUGACGGUACCUGACUAAGAAGCCCCGGCUAACUACGUGCCAGCAGCCGCGGUAAUACGUAGGGGGCAAGCGUUAUCCGGAUUUACUGGGUGUAAAGGGAGCGAAGACGGCAGUGCAAGUCUGAAGUGAAAGGCAAGGGCUCAACGCUGGGACUGCUGUGGAAACUGUGCUGCUGGAGGGGCGGGGG
rnacentral:rRNA from 1 species